GAGCUGGAAAGCUAUCUCUCGGCAGACCUGAUGGUGUCUGUCUCCAGAUUGCUCCUCCUCUGGCAUUCCCCAUCCCAGAACCACAAUCCAGGGGAGCCCCAACUUCUCCCCACUCACCCAGGAUGAGUCCGACAAAGUCCCAAGGACUCUGCCUCCAAAAUUGAUCUUGAAUCAGCUCAUCCUCUCUUCUGCUUAGCCCAGAAAGACUUACCUUAUCUCUCACCUCGAGUCUUCAUCUUUCUGACCGUUGGCUUAAACCUUUGUCACCGGACCCCAACGUCGGUUGAGUCAGUCUCCAACAAGGGUUUUCCUGCCUGGUGUUCUUUAAGCCAAUUAACGGGACCAAAUUUGGUUCAGGAGCCAAGGAAAGCUUUCUUUUUUGGACAGAAACAGCUCCCAGCGGGCUCUAAAGCAUACCCAGCCAUGCACCUGAGGCUCCCGGCUCCCCGUGGUCCCCACGUGCUCCUGGACAGGCUGUGGGAGGGGCUACUGUGUAGGGAUCUCCUGGCGGAGGGGGCGGAGUUCCCUGCGGCUGGAGACCGGUGCUCUGCUGAGGCUCCAGGCAGCGUCUCCGCACACAGCGGCCACCACCAUCCUAGACUGAGUGUGGUGAGCAGUGCUUCUCCAAACGGCCUGGAGCUGAGACGUCAGUACUAGGGGCUCUGGCCCCCGGUGCUUGGGGCAAAGCGUCUACAGGCAGCCCUCUGUGAGCAAGUGAAAGGGACUGAACACAAAGGACUAAAGAAAGCCAAAAAGGAGAAGUUUUUGGACUUCCUGCUGGUUAAGAGCUUAGAGCAAGAGGGGUUCCCACGGGCACUCACCGGAUCACCAGGGCAGCUGGAAAGCUGUGGUGAUACCUAGAGGUGAGCCCAUGGAGCCCCAGCCAAUGAAGACUCAGCCACGGUUCGCCUCAUCAGCAGUGCGGGGAGGAGAGCCUGGCGGGGAAGUGUUUCCUCUUCUUGUCAGCAGCCCACAGGGCUUCCUGAUUAUGGGGGUCCUGGUCUUGCGAGUGGCUCACAGCGCUCCCUGGCCCACUUGAGAGAAACUAGCUCUGGCAGGAAGAGGUCAAGUCACCAGUCACUUACUCACCUGAACCGGGAUGGGGCAUCCUUGUUCCAGCUUGUCAGGUGGUCCUCAUUACCUGGGCCUUUUCCUGGUAUCACCUCUUGGCUCACUGGACUGGCCACUUUCCUUUACCAGAUCAAAAGUGACUCGGGAGAAUGCUUCUGCUGACCCCCAGAGAUUGGCAAGGACAAAAACCCCAAUGCUGCCACUACUCCCUUGUACAGGGGCCAGGAGGACAGUACUGCUGGUGAGACAGUGGGCAAGACAGCUGUGGCUCCAUCCUGUCGGAGAUCCCCACCAUCCCCAGGCCCCAGCGCUGCUGGAAGGCCAGCCAGAGGCAGCAGACAGACGCGUGAAGAAUUGGGGAAUACAUUUAGCUGCUUAUCACCUGCUGAGGGAACUUCUAAGAACCAAUGUCCGAUUUCACUCUGCAGUCCUGAUGCCAUUGGUCUGGAGCAUGGCCUGGACAGCAGGAAUUUUAAAAGCCGCUCAGGACAUUCUGAAGUUUAAAGAAGGUGUAAAACUGGGGAAAGUAGAGCUCCAGGUAUCCGUGUGGAUUUGAGCAACAAUCUUCCUUACCAAAUUGCCGGCUUGGAUAAUCAUGUCUCAAGCUUCAAAGAUGGAGCAUAAUGUGGUGGUUGAAGAACUAAUCUUCCUUAUUUUGGAUUCUAGAUCUGCUGUUUACAAACCGUGUGACCCUGGCCAUGAUACUUAAUAUCACUGAGUCUCAGUUCUCUUGUCUCUUAAGUGGGUAUAAGUGUGGCAACUAUGAUUAUGAUGCUAUUAUGAUGUUUAAGGGAGAUGAUCCAUGUAAAUAAUUUAAGCUUAGGUUUUCUCAUAUAGCCUUUUCUCCCAGUAAAGACUGAUUAAAAUGAAAUUUAAACUUCAUAUGGUUCUAAGUGACCUCUCUUGAUUUAUUCUGUUGGUGUAGAUGGGAACUGGCUUGUUCAGAAACCUCCCUGGAUGAUUCUAACGUUCAGCUGGGGUCGAGGAGCAAUCUUGGUGUCUGAUUCUGCUUUCCCUGUUCUCGUAGGAGCUUCCCAGGUACCUCUCUCAGUGGUCUAGUCCUCAGGCUUGUUUCAGGGCCACUUCUAAACAGCUUUGAAUCCACAUAGUUUUCCUUUUGCUUUUAUAAUUCUUGUGUUUUUUUAAUCAGAGUAAAUGUGGAUUAUUACUUCUAUUUCAUUGUUUUUAUUUUUCUAAUGGCCAUUUUCCCCGAUUUUAAGAACCCAUGUUUAUUUUAUUCCCCACACAGAGACAAAAUAAUGAAAAUAUUAUAUUUUUGUCCAAAUUUCUAUGUAUCAUGUGUCUAUAAAUGGAAGUUUUAAAAUUGCAAAGGUAGUUUUGAAAGUUGCUUCUUUUGCUUCACCUUAUAUCAUAAGCACAGUCUCAAAUGCUACGGAUUUUUGGAAGUAUAAUAAUUUAUUCUGUUUGUCAUUCUGAUGUAUCCCACUGUAUUUUACCAUUCCCUUACUAUCAGCAGUAUUGGUUUCCUUGGGCUGCCUGAACCAAAUACCACAGACUGGGGUGGCUUAAAACAACAGAUAUCUAUCCCCUCAGAGUUCUAGAGGUUAGAAGUCUGCAGAAGGUGUAGGCAUGCUUGAUUCCUCUGGAAACUCAGAAGAAGAAUCUGUCCCCUGCUGCUCUCCCCACUUCUGGAAGUUGCCCCAGCCUCUGGUGCCCCUGGGCUUGUAGACACAUCACUCUAUUGUGUCUCCCUCUUCACGUGCUUUUGUGUCCCUCUGUGUCUCUGAGUCCAAGUUUCCCUCUUCUUAUAAGCUCCUCUCUGACCCAGCAUGACUUCUUCUUAACUUGGGUUAUAUCUGCAAAGACCUUAUUAUAAAAUAAGAUCACUGUUACAGGUACUGAGAGUUAAGAAUUGUAUUGUUUUGAGGGACGUGAUUCAACCAGGUAUAUCAGCCAUUUAUGACUUCCAUCUGCCUUUUUAAGGGACCAGUAAAGGUUUACCCAACAAUACUGGUCUUCUCAAUACUUCUACAUUUCAGCUCUUUAUAGUUUCCCGCCCUGCUGUGAGUUCACACAGGUGCUGAGGAAGCCAGGCCAAGGGUAGAAAUGGGGCCGAGUGUUCACUUCUGUCCUCCCUAGAUGCCCACCUUCCCUGGAGCAAGCUGGGUGCCUGUCUGGGAAGUCCAGGAGGGGCGGGCUGAGGCAGGGAGGGAGCCACAGGUGGUGGGAGCAUGGCUUCCUGCAGCUGCCUGGCCACCUGGCUGGACAGCUGUUCUCCCGACCAGGGAGCUGUGGAUGGCAGGGCUGCCUGGCUUAUCACGGCCUCGGAGAGUUACAUGAUGCCAAAAUGCCUGGUCGAAUCUGUCAGUUCUUGUGAGCAGCCGUUUUAGGGGGUGGAGGAGUGGCACCGGGGGCAUGGAAUCUCCAAACUGAUUGUUUAUAGUGCCUGCUCAGUUUAGACAAGUAUUGACCCGAGGACACCCGCAGUCACUGGUUCAGCUGGGAUUGUCUGUUCCAGGGGUCAGCUUACUACACCCUGCAGGUCAGGCCUGGCACACUGCCUGCUGUGUACAGGGAGCUAAGAAUUGCCUUUACAAGUGAACAUCUGCAAUUGAUUUGAUGAUGGGAGCCCUGACUUUGAAUCCCAAGUAAACAAAAACGUUCGUUAUCCUCCACCCUCAAUGAAUUUCAUUCUUCUCACGAUUAGAUCUUUAUUAUAAAAAAUUCAUACUCAAUGAUCAUAUUUUGAAUUUCAUCAAUAAAAAAUU
ensembl:lncRNA